rnacentral:rRNA from 1 species
UACGUAGGCAGCAAGCGUUGUUCGGAAUUACUGGGCGUAAAGGGUGCGUAGGCGGCUUUUUAAGUUUGGUGUGAAAUCUCCCGGCUCAACUGGGAGGGUGCGCCGAAUACUGAGAAGCUAGAGUGUGGGAGAGGAAAGUGGAAUUCCUGGUGUAGCGGUGAAAUGCGUAGAUAUCAGGAGGAACACCGGUGGUGUAAACGGCUGUCUGGACCAUAACUGACGCUGAGGCACGAAAGCGUGGGUAGCAAACAGG